UACAGAGGAGCCAAGCGUUGUCCGGAUUGACUGGGCGUAAAGCGCACGCAGGCGGACGCGCGCGUGGGGUGUGAAAUCUGGCCGCUUAACGGGCCAGGCGCCAUCCCAUACGGCGCGUCUGGAGUGAUGCAGAGGUCGGUGGAAUUGCCGGUGUAGUGGUGAAAUGCGUAGAGAUCGGCAGGAACACCCAGGGGGAAACCGAG
rnacentral:rRNA from 1 species